rnacentral:lncRNA from 1 species
GACAAACAUAGCUACAAGGGUUUAAAUUUUAAUAUAUAUGCUCCUUUCAGACAACCAAAUGCCCAGUGGAAUUAUAUCUAAUGCUUUGCAAAAAUAAAAAUAAAAAUAAUUAAAGAUGCUUAACACAAUUUAAUUAACUAACAUAUCGUUAUAACAUUAUCAAACAUUCAAGAGCAUAUAAAAAUGAAUUACAAUAGAAGGAUGGAGCUACUAAUAUUUUCCAGCGUCAUUAUCUUUCAUUCCAACUCGAUUUUAUGAGUUUACAUGGUCCGAAAAUUACCUGGACAACAGAAAGAAGAACAAAUACAGCAGAGUCAGCUCUUUCCAAAAUCAACAGCAAAACAAUUAAACAGGCAGCAACAACAGCAAAAGACAGUGACAACCGGCAGAUUCAAACCCAAGAAAAUAAACUAGAAAUACCCCAGCAAAAUAGUACAAUUAUGUAACUCCAGAAAAAUCUUUCAAGACUACUCUAUUUUCCUUAAACAAGUUUUUCACUUAAGAAUCAACUCACAAAAGCUGCUAAGGGAUAUUAUAGCUACUGAUUUUUUUUCUCUUUUUUGUGUGUAGAGAUCUCUCUCAGUCAGAUGGAGUGUCCUCCCCUUUAUAUCAAAACAACCAGCUAUUUCAAAAAAAUUAAAAAUCAAUCUUUUUGACAGAAUUUUCUACAAAAUCUGCUCUUAAAUUCAAAAAUCAAGACUUUCUGGUUCAAAUCUUGUCAAGUAUUUCAAACAAAAUCUGCUCUCCAUUAUUCAAAGACAAACUUUUAUUCAAACACUGUCGAAAAGUCUACAUUUUCUUGCCAAACAAUUUGACUUUGAGUGUUGUACUCAAAGAGUCUUGAAGCAAUAAAUAAACAACCAAACAAGUAUCAUAUACUCUUAGGUAUUCUUCACUACCUCACUUUUAUCAAUACAAAACUAUUUUACUACUUCAACAAGUGCAAAAACAGAAAAUUUAACAUUUCAAACUUCAAAAACUAAUGCUAAAAUAAUUAAUAAUAGAAAAAAUAAAAUCUGGAAAAAAAAAUCAGCCACGAAAAAGAAUAGGAUUUUUACCAUUUUACAAUUCAAGUGACCGAAAAAAUGGUGGUAUGCCAAAAAAGGGUGUUCGGGAAGGUCGCCGGAAUUUGGCCGGAUUUUGGUCGCCCGAUUUUUUGGGUGAAAUUGGCAUCAAUAGCUAGGUCUUGAGGAGCUCUAUCCAUUGAUGUAGGUAUUGUGGGGGUGGUAGUGGCCGGAGCUUCAAGAAUUUGGGCAAAAAAGUGACGGUUAAAACUUCCUAGAUCUAAGAUUCAAGGAGUUUGAGGGGGGUUUUGGAGGAUUUGGUUUGGAGAUAUGGAAAGAGGAGGUGUUGGAGAUUACAUGGUGAAAAUUUGAGAUGGUUUGGGGGUGGUCCACCGUCGGUGGGCGAUUUCCGGCGGCGGUGGAGGGGCGGCGGUUAUGGAGAAAGAGAGUGAGAAGAGAGAGGGAGGAGAAAAUAAUUAUGGAAGAAAUGGGGGCAAAAUUUCAGCAUUUCUAAGUCUUAAAUACCUAGUUGGAAGGUUGAUU